rnacentral:tRNA from 1 species
UGAAGUAUGCCGGAAUUGGUAGACGGGGCUGCCUAAAAGGUUUAUGGGGAACAUCCACUCCCCGCAACAUACCUCAUAAAGCGGCUGAGAUAAAUGGUCUAUCUCGUGAAGGUUCAAGUCCUUCUACUUCUU